UACGUAGGCAGCAAGCGUUGUUCGGAAUUACUGGGCGUAAAGAGUGUGUAGGCGGUGCUCUAAGUUCGGUGUGAAAUCUCCCGGCUUAACUGGGAGGGUGCGCCGGAAACUGGAGUGCUCGAGCGUGGGAGAGGAAAGCGGAAUCCUGGUGUAGCGGUGAAAUGCGUAGAUAUCAGGAGGAACACCGGUGGUGUAGACGGCUUUCUGGACCGAUAGCUGACGCUGAGACACGAAAGCGUGGGUAGCAAACAGG
rnacentral:rRNA from 1 species